AGACCGAUAGCGAACAAGUAGAGUGAUCGAAAGAUGAAAAGCACUUUGAAAAGAGAGUUAAAAAGCACGUGAAAUUGUUGAAAGGGAAGCGCUUGCGAUCAGACUCGCCUUGGGGGUUCAGCCGGCAUUCGUGCCGGUGUACUUCCCCCAGGGCGGGCCAGCGUCGGUUUGGGUGGCUGGUCAAAGGCCUUUGGAAUGUAACGCCUCUCGGGGCGUCUUAUAGCCAAGGGUGCCAUGCAGCCUACCUGGACCGAGGAACGCGCUUCGGCUCGGACGCUGGCAUAAUGGUCGUAAGCGACCCGUCUUGAAACACGGACCAAG
rnacentral:rRNA from 1 species